rnacentral:rRNA from 1 species
GACGAACGCUGGCGGCGUGCCUAAUACAUUCAAGUCGAGCGAAGCGGCGGAUGGGUGAGUAACGCGUGGGUAACCUGCCCUUAAGUCUGGGAUACCAUUUGGAAACAGAUGCUAAUACCGGAUACUAAAGGAUGGACCUGCGAUGCAUUAGAUAGUUGGUAAGGUAACGGCUUACCAAGGCGAUGAUGCAGAGCGGGCUUGAGAGGCGGAUCGGUCAAACUGGGACUGGGACACGGCCCAAACUCCUACGGUAGGAAGCAGUGGGGAAACUUGCACAAUGGACGAAAGUCUGAUGGAGCAACGCCGCGGGAGUUAAGAAGGUUUUCGGAUCGUAAAGCUCUUUUGUUGGGGAAGCGGUAAUCAACCAGAAAGUCACGGCUAACUACGGGCCAGCAGCCGCGGGAAUUC